rnacentral:lncRNA from 10 species
UGAUGAUGGGUUUCCACAUGACUCUUUUCAAGACCACAGCCGACGCCUUUAAAAUCAUGACUGGCUUAUGUGUCGACAUGUAUUCUCACACUCAAAUUUCAGAAUAAGGCAUGAGGUGGAUGUAUGUGAUGGCACCAACUCUGCUUUCUCUUUUCUAGUGACCACUCAGGCCCUGCCUGCACCUAUUCUUACUCAUUUUAGGGCUCCAUCCAUUACUCUGAGCCUUCAACCUGCAGCUCUGCUUUUCGCUGUCUGCAGAUGCUGAAGAAAGGCGUCACUAAAGGCCUCGGGCUGCUGGCUGCGAUCAGCACCGAUGGGAGCUGCCAGGAUCCAACCCAGUUUUUAAAAACACACUUGAUCAAGAUUCACAUACCAUAAAAUCUGCACAUUAAAAGCAUGAGAUUCAGUAGUGGGUUUUAGUAUAUUAACAAAGUUGUGUAACCAUCACCCCAAAAAGAAACACUGUUCCAGUAGUAGUCACUCCCCACUCCGUACUACCCUCCAGCUCCUGGCAAUCACUAGUCUACUUUGUCUCACAGAUUUGCCUACUCUGGGCAUUUCAUAGAAAUGGAAUCCUCUCUGCAGCCUUUUGUCUCUGCCAUCUUCACCUCGCGUCAUGCUUCAAGGGAAUCUGUGCUGCAGCAUGUUUCAGCACCUCAUUUCUUAGUUUGGCUGAAUAACAUUCCAUUGUAUGGAUAACAAAUUUUGUUUGCCCAUUCAUUCGUUGGUGGGAAUUUGGGUUAUUUCUAUCUUUUGGCUGUUAUGAAUAAUGCUGCUAUAAACAUUUGUGUACAAGUGUUUGCACAGACAUGUUUUCAUUUCUUUAGUAUACACCUAGGAGUGAAAUUAUUGGGUCAUAUAACACUAUUUAACCAUUUGAGAAACUGCUAGACUUUUUCCAAAAUGGAAGUAUCAUUUUAUAUUCCCACCAGCAGUGAAUGAGGGUUCCUUUUCCUCCACAUCCUUGCCAACAUAUGGCAUGAUCUAACUUUCUGAUCAUAGCCCUUCUAGUGGGUAUGGUGUCUCAUUGUGGUUUUGACUUGCAUUUCUAAUGACUUAAGAUGAUGAAUGUCUUUUCAUGAGCUUAUUGGCCAUUUGUAUGUCAUCUUUGAAGAAAUGUCUAUUCAAAUCCUUUGCCCAUUUUUUUGGGUUGUCUUUUUAUUGUUGAGUUUUAAGAGUUCUUUGUAUAUGUUCUGGAUAUAAGAAUCCCUUAACAGAUACAUAAUUUGCAAGCUGGGGACAGUGGCCAACGCCUGUAAUCCCAACACUUUAGGAGGUCGAGGCAGGAGGA